rnacentral:lncRNA from 13 species
GUUGCAAUUGCAAAUUGCCAAACUACAUGCAUUUCAAAAGGUCUUCCUCACAAAUCUCCAUCCCCAUCAGCAGUGGAGUCACAUCCACUUCACCAUGUCCUCCCAGCACAAAGAAGGCUUACUGCUGAAACCAUGUUGCUCAUCUGAGGACCUACAUUUUGGUGUAGCCAGCAGGGUCACUAAGGCUGCUCCGCUCUUCUGGAAGCCUCAGAGAAGGGAACUCAGGAACCAGGUCAGCUGCCAAAAAGGUUGCUUAGUGAUACAGACAAGCAAACUGCUCCGAAAGCACGGAAGUAAUUCCAGAGCGUCCACCUUUCUUCACUGCCCGCCAUUCACCCAGAGCUGGGAGCCUGGCUCUUAUCUGUGUUCAUGUCAGGAAGUUGAAGCAAGCCUCGUCUUGCCAAAGAAUCAAGGAGUGACAGAGUUGGAAAUGAAAGCGUAACAGAAACUUGGACUGAUCACAGACUCAAACCAGUACAUCUCCUUUUCUGCUUCGAAUUGGGAACUGAAACCAUUCCAUAGGAAGCACACUCUUGCCCUUCCUACGGAAAAAUAUUCGUCUGGCUUGAUUCCCUUUUCAUAUUAUUAUUAUUUGAGAUGACAUCUUGCUCUGUCACCCAGGCUGCAGUGCAGGGGCACCAUCUUGGCUUACUGCAACCUCCGCCUCCCGGGUUCAAGCAAUUCUCCCUCCCCCAGCAUCCCCAGUAGCUGGGACUACAGGCACUCACCACCACGCCCAGCUAAUUUUUCUUGUAUUUUUACUAGAAACGGGGUUUCGCCAUGUUGGCCAGGCUGAUCUCAAACUCCUGACUUCAGGUGACCCGCCGGUCUCAGCCCCCACAAAGUGCUGGGAUUACAAGUGUGAGCCACUGCGCCCAGCCUUGAUUUCCAUUUUAAUGCACAAAUACUAACAGCAGUGUUCACCAAACUCUAAUAAAACGUAAGUGCUCUUGCA